rnacentral:misc_RNA from 1 species
UCGCGGCUUAUCACCUGCCAAGCACCCUCGAAGGCUCCCUCCCUUUCAGGAAGGAUGCAGCUUGGUUUCUAGCCCUGGUAAGGUUCUUCGCUUAACGACGAAUUAAGCCACAUGAUCCACCGCUUGUGCGAGUCCCCGUCUAUUCCUUUGAGUUUUAAUCUUGCGAUCGUACUACCCAGGCGGCUCGCUUACCGCGUUAGCUUAGUCCCACAGAGGGUCGAUACUCCGUAGAACGAGCGAGCAGCGUUUAGGGCCAGGACUAC